rnacentral:snRNA from 16 species
CCAGCUCUCUUUGCCAUUAUGGCUUAGAUCAAGUGUAGUAUCUGUUCUUUUCAGUUUAAUCUCUGAAAGUAUUCUAAGGAAUACAACAUUGAUUAAUCUUAUUUUUGGAUCCCGCAGGAAAAUCUCUGUGCUUGCGCAUGUUUUCCGGCACCGUGUCAUCAGUCUUACACUACCGCUGAUUGACGCGAAUUUUC